rnacentral:tRNA from 1 species
CAGAGGGUAGUUUAUUUAAAAUAUUAAUUUUGGAGAUUAAUGAAAAGAUUCAUCUUUCCUCUGA